AAGGAUUUAGGAUAACCCUAAAACCGAGAGCCUUCAAAGCCCUAAACGGGAGUGAGAAUCUCCCAGUCCUUG
rnacentral:tRNA from 1 species